rnacentral:rRNA from 1 species
AUUGAACGCUGGCGGCAUGCCUUACACAUGCAAGUCGAACGGCAGCACGGGUGCUUGCACCUGGUGGCGAGUGGCGAACGGGUGCGUAAUACAUCGGAACGUACCUUAUCGUGGGGGAUAACAAAUUGAAAAAUUUGCUAAUACCGCAUAAUACUCUGAGAAGGAAAACGGGGGAUUCGUAAGCACCUCGUGCGAUUAGAGCGGCCGAUGGCUGAUUAGCUAGUUGGUGAGGUAAAGGCACACCAAGGCAACGAUCAGUAGCAGGUCUGAGAGGAUGAUCUGCCACACUGGAACUGAGAAACGGUCCAGACUCCUACGGGAGGCAGCAGUGGGGAAUUUUGGACAAUGGACGAAAGUCUGAUCCAGCAAUGCCGCGUGAGUGAAGAAGGCCUUCGGGUUGUAAAGCUCUUUUGUCAGUGAAGAAAACUUUAAUAAUAACACUAUUAAAGCAUGACGGUAACUGAAGAAUAAGGACCGACUAACUACGUGCCAGCCGCCGCUGUAA